AAGAACUUCAAACACAUCACCAUCACCAAAAUACAAUUUUGUCAUGAAUCCAUUUGUGUCCUUUGUUUAAUAUGCACAUAGACCAAGGUGAGCGACACAGGCUCUUUAGAGCCUCUAGUUUCUAGCAAGCCUUAUGUUAAAAACUUGCCAUUAUAGGACUGUAUCUUCACCAUCAAGAAGCUAUUGAUUUUGUGGUAAAUAUUUCAUGCAUAUUCAGGAGGACAAGAAGAAACUUGUUAGGCAAAAUGCAUGUUUAUAUUAAAAAUACUUGGGUGAAUUAAAAAAAAAAAAUAGUUUAAAAUUGAUACUCUAAGUCAGAUGAGCAUUAGUUGGGAAACAAAAAAAAAGCUAUAAAAAAUUAUAGAUUAUGAAGAUCCUUUUCAAGUUAUUUGAUUUUUAAAAAAUGGUAGAAAAAAACCAACUCUGACUUUUACCUUAUAUUUGCAUUGGUAUUAUUUGAGACUCAAAUCAAAAGGAAAUUUAGAAUCUGCUUAAAUUUUGGUGAAUGACCUUUAUGAGCUAUUGAAGUAUUAGCUGAAAAGAAAAAUGGGUGUAAUGGGGCAAAAUAUUUUACCCUGUAUCGUAGAAAAAAGUCUGAAGUUCCGAACAUCUGACAAAAUCCCUUAACCUAAACCUAACCCAAGUUCAUCCUUAAAUUCUGUUUAGAUGUAUUUAUGUGAAAAACAGACAUAUAUUUCAUCAGGAUUUGAUAUUUUCAAGCUGCAGGGUAUUAUGUUACUUAAAAGCCAAAGAGAGUUUGUGAAAAACUUACCUUUAUAUCAAUGUAAAUCAUGAAAACAAAAUUAAAGAGUCCCAAUCAACUUUUUUUUAAUAGACUAUUUUCAUAUUCUAAGUUUUUUUCUUUAGUCUGGUUACCUGUACUGUGGUAAGACAUCGUGGUACCUAGUCGAGUAAGAGCGACGUAAAAGAAUAAAAUAAGAUUUUAAUUGUGACAUUUUUUGGGGAAAAUUAACUGCUUAAUAUUUUCUUUACAAGAUAAAAUCACUGAAAUAAGGUAGACUUUCCCCUCAAGUUACACCAAUAAUAUGUUUGAUUUUACUUAUUUUGGUUGCUCUUACUUGACUGAGUACCAGGAUGUCUUACCAGAGAAAAGAUAACCUGUCGAAAAAUUAUAAAAUCUGGAGUCAAAAGUUGGUAAUAUGAAAACAGUCCAUUUUCCGGAUUAAAUGGUGGUACAAAUGGGAAUGCCAUCUAUGGUUUUUCGUAAAUGAAUUUUUUAAUGUAUUUUUUUUUAUAUUUCUCUAAUGCAAUAAUACUGUCAGCAUGGAAGUAAUAUUUUUACAGUUGCAUCUUUAACUUUCAAUUAUACAGUGUUUCUCAUAGUUAAAACAUCAGGCUAUAACUAAUAAAAAGAUUGAUUUUUCAUAUUUAUUUUAUUUUGAAUUAUAUUUAUUGUACAAUGUACUACAUAAGAUCUUGUAAAAUUAGAAUUAAGUAUUAUUUUUUUUAUAUCAAAGUCCAAAUAAAUUUGCUACAUGUUUUAACUCAGUUACUUCAUAGCAGGAAAUAUCUAAAAAAAAAUAAUAAAAAGAGAAUAAGGUUAUAACCUUAACCUGAGUUAAGAUGUAAUUUAUUAUGGUCUAUGCUUAAAUUUCAUUUGUUUUAAUCUAUUGAUUACUGUGGAAUCAUUUAUUUCUGUUGGUACUCAUUUUAGUGGUUUUAGGAAAUCUUACAUAUUCAUGGAUAUCUUUGGCAAAUUCUGCACUCAUUCUUUUAUAAAACUUGUAAAUCGUAGAAUAUUUGAAUUCGUGGUUCUCCUGUAGCCUUAAAAGGAGUAGGUUCAGUAAGACUAGUAGCAGUUUUACAAAAUUCUUAAAAUAUAAACUCUUAACUAUUUGUUAGAAAGAAGAAUACUUCUGCUUCAUAAAUAUGGGCGGUUUUUGACAAUACAUUGAUAUAGUAUAUCGAGUACUAGCAUCAUUAAGUCAUGCUUAAUUAUUGAAAUCUUCAUAAUUGUAGCAUUUGAGUUAAAUUUUAUCCGUCUUGAAUGGAAGUGGACGCAUUUGUGUUUAUUCUUAAUAUUUAAGUGCAAGUUGUAUUUGAAGAUAAUACAUAAUAUAUAUAAAGGUUGAGGGUGAUCACGGAUGUAGUCAAUUUCAUUUUUCACAAAAAACAUCUGAAAAGUGACAUAUUAUGGCAUAUUUGAUAGAUUUUCAUAUUUAAGCUUGAAUUUGAGCGUCUUUAAUGACGAAAUCAGUUGAAAUCUUUCACAUGAAAUAAUUGAAUUGGCUGAAGUAGACACUUAAGUGUUUUAAAAAGUGUCAAAAAACUUUCAUCAGAUGAACCUGAAAUUUGAGGCCAAAAUCGGACCUACUCCUUUACGAAAAUUGAUAUCCAACAGAUAUAAAUGAAUCCACAGUAUAUAACUUUAAUGAUCUGAUCCUGUUGUUUCAAGAAUUUGUUUUGAGUUGAAGAUGCAACUUUAUGUGAAUGAUUUUAUCUUAUUACAAGAUGUUCUGAGCAUCCUGGUUUAUUUUAAAUGAUUUAUACAAUGCGUAUUGGUUAGUGCUGUACCAGUGAACAGUCCAUGCUAGUCCAUGGCAUAUGUGAUUAUUUAUUGAAAAAAAUAUAUUUAUUAAAAUAAGUGCCA
rnacentral:lncRNA from 1 species